rnacentral:rRNA from 1 species
UACGUAGGGGGCAAGCGUUGUCCGGAAUCAUUGGUCGUAAAGAGCGUGUAGGCGGCCCGGUAAGUCCGCUGUGAAAGUCCAGGGCUCAACCCUGGGAUGCCGGUGGAUACUGUCGGGCUCGAGUCCGGAAGAGGAGUGUGGAAUUCCUGGUGUAGCGGUGAAAUGCGCAGAUAUCAGGAGGAACACCAAUGGCGAAGGCAGCACUCUGGGACGUGACUGACGCUGAGACGCGAAAGCGUGGGGAGCAAACAGG